rnacentral:rRNA from 1 species
UACAUGUGGGGCAAGCGUUGUUCGGAAUUACUGGGACAUAAAGGGUGCGUAGGCGGCUUGUUAAGUCAGGGGGUGAAAGUUUUCGGCCCCAACCGGAAAAUUGCCUUUGAUACUGGCGAGCUGGAGUGCGUGAGGGGUGACCGGAACGAGUGGUGUAGCGGUGAAAUGCGUAGAUAGUCACUCGGAAGGCCAACGGCGAAGGCAGGUCACUGGUGCGCAACUGACGCUGAGGCACGAAAGCGUGGGGAGCAAACAGG